UAUGAUGUUGCUCCAACACUACUGUUUAUUUCUGGGGGGUUUUUGCAGCUCCUUGAUAUACAUAUAUUUACUUACGGUAAUUCAGGUUUUUAAAAAAUAUAUAAUUAUCAUGUACUGCAUUGUACUGCUGCCUCAAAGCUAACAAAUUUCACGACAUAUGCCGGUGUUGUUAAACCUGAUUCUGAUUCAUAUGCAUACUAUAAGGCCGAUCUUUGUUGUCCAUUUGCAGGACUGAGUCACGAUCUGGAGGUCCUCAACAGGGCAGGGCCCAUGCACAUGGAGACCAUGAUUGUAACUGCACAUACGCAUGAGGGAUUGCCAAAUCCCCAAGCAGCUACUAUACGCUGACAUGGGAUCAUUCACGUCAGAUGGUAGAGCAAUCGGAAUGUUUCUCCAGAGCCCCUAUGAUCACUCAAUGACGCAGAAUCCUGGAAUUGCCGCUUCGGAACAAGGCAGGUGGGGCUUGUCAGACUUGAACAGCAGCAACCGCCUCCUCCCCCAGCCCAGGAGAAGGUUUCAAACCUGAUUUCAAACCUCCGCUGCCUCGCGGCCAGACACACCCAUGGGAAAGGCUUCGGGAGUAAACUGCGAGGAAGAAAUCCGGAGCCGGGGUCCCUAAGGCAGUUUGAUGUUGUUUACAACUUCACUCUGGUGACCUCUGUGAUGACACUGGCGCCUGCCCUUACCUUGGACUACAUCAGUGACGUGGAGAGGGGGAACCGACUGCAUGGGCAACAGCCGGUUCUUCGAAUCUUCCCAUCCAGGCAUGCACCCUGGAGAGGAGACAACAGUCCACCAG